CGGUUAAGUUAGAAAGGGCGCACGGUGGAUGCCUUGGCACUAGGAGCCGAUGAAGGACGGGACGAACACCGAUAUGCUUCGGGGAGCUGUAAGCAAGCUUUGAUCCGGAGAUUUCCGAAUGGGGAAACCCACCACUCGUAAUGGAGUGGUAUCCAUAUCUGAAUACAUAGGAUAUGAGAAGGCAGACCCGGGGAACUGAAACAUCUAAGUACCCGGAGGAAGAGAAAGCAAAUGCGAUUCCCUGAGUAGCGGCGAGCGAAACGGGACCAGCCCAAACCAAGAGGCUUGCCUCUUGGGGUUGUAGGACACUCUGUACGGAGUUACAAAGGAACGAGGUAGAUGAAGAGGUCUGGAAAGGCCCGCCAUAGAAGGUAACAGCCCUGUAGUCAAAACUUCGUUCUCUCCUGAGUGGAUCCUGAGUACGGCGGAACACGUGAAAUUCCGUCGGAAUCCGGGAGGACCAUCUCCCAAGGCUAAAUACUCCCUAGUGACCGAUAGUGAACCAGUACCGUGAGGGAAAGGUGAAAAGCACCCCGGAAGGGGAGUGAAAGAGAUCCUGAAACCGUGUGCCUACAAGUAGUCAGAGCCCGUUAACGGGUGAUGGCGUGCCUUUUGUAGAAUGAACCGGCGAGUUACGAUCCCGUGCAAGGUUAAGCAGAAGAUGCGGAGCCGCAGCGAAAGCGAGUCUGAAUAGGGCGAAUUGAGUACGUGGUCGUAGACCCGAAACCAGGUGAUCUACCCAUGUCCAGGGUGAAGUUCAGGUAACACUGAAUGGAGGCCCGAACCCACGCACGUUGAAAAGUGCGGGGAUGAGGUGUGGGUAGGGGUGAAAUGCCAAUCGAACCUGGAGAUAGCUGGUUCUCUCCGAAAUAGCUUUAGGGCUAGCCUCAAGGUAAGAGUCUCGGAGGUAGAGCACUGAUUGGACUAGGGGCCCCUACCGGGUUACCGAAUUCAGUCAAACUCCGAAUGCCGAUGACUUAUCCUUGGGAGUCAGACUGCGAGUGAUAAGAUCCGUAGUCGAAAGGGAAACAGCCCAGACCGCCAGCUAAGGUCCCAAAGUAUACGUUAAGUGGAAAAGGAUGUGGAGUUGCUUAGACAACCAGGAUGUUGGCUUAGAAGCAGCCACCAUUUAAAGAGUGCGUAAUAGCUCACUGGUCGAGUGACUCUGCGCCGAAAAUGUACCGGGGCUAAACGUAUCACCGAAGCUGCGGACUGUUCUUCGAACAGUGGUAGGAGAGCGUUCUAAGGGCUGUGAAGCAAGACCGGAAGGACUUGUGGAGCGCUUAGAAGUGAGAAUGCCGGUAUGAGUAGCGAAAGAGGGGUGAGAAUCCCCUCCACCGAAUGCCUAAGGUUUCCUGAGGAAGGCUCGUCCGCUCAGGGUUAGUCGGGACCUAAGCCGAGGCCGAAAGGCGUAGGCGAUGGAUAACAGGUUGAUAUUCCUGUACCACCUCCUCACCAUUUGAGCAAUGGGGGGACGCAGGAGGAUAGGGUAAGCGCGGUAUUGGAUAUCCGCGUCCAAGCAGUUAGGCUGGGAAAUAGGCAAAUCCGUUUCCCGUGAAGGCUGAGCUGUGAUGGCGAGCGAAUUAUAGUAGCGAAGUUCCUGAUUCCACACUGCCAAGAAAAGCCUCUAGCGAGGUGAGAGGUGCCCGUACCGCAAACCGACACAGGUAGGCGAGGAGAGAAUCCUAAGGUGAUCGAGAGAACUCUCGUUAAGGAACUCGGCAAAAUGACCCCGUAACUUCGGGAGAAGGGGUGCUCUGUUAGGGUGCAAGCCCGAGAGAGCCGCAGUGAAUAGGCCCAGGCGACUGUUUAGCAAAAACACAGGUCUCU
rnacentral:rRNA from 1 species